UGAGUGGCGAACGGGUGAGUAACACGUGGACAACCUGCCUCAAGGCUGGGGAUAACAUUUGGAAACAGAUGCUAAUACCGAAUGAAACUUAGUGUCGCAUGAUACGAAGUUAAAAGGCGCUUUGGCGUCACCUAGAGAUGGAUCCGCGGUGCAUUAGUUAGUUGGUGGGGUAAAGGCCUACCAAGACAAUGAUGCAUAGCCGAGUUGAGAGACUGAUCGGCCACAUUGGGACUGAGACACGGCCCAA
rnacentral:rRNA from 1 species